rnacentral:rRNA from 1 species
GUUAAGCGACUAAGCGUACACGGUGGAUGCCCUGGCAGUCAGAGGCGAUGAAGGACGUGCUAAUCUGCGAUAAGCGUCGGUGAGGUGAUAUGAACCGUUAUAACCGGCGAUUUCCGAAUGGGGAAACCCAGUGUGUUUCGACACACUAUCAUUAACUGAAUCCAUAGGUUAAUGAGGCGAACCGGGGGAACUGAAACAUCUAAGUACCCCGAGGAAAAGAAAUCAACCGAGAUUCCCCCAGUAGCGGCGAGCGAACGGGGAGGAGCCCAGAGCCUGAAUCAGUGUGUGUGUUAGUGGAAGCGUCUGGAAAGGCGCGCGAUACAGGGUGACAGCCCCGUACACAAAAAUGCACAUAUUGUGAGCUCGAUGAGUAGGGCGGGACACGUGGUAUCCUGUCUGAAUAUGGGGGGACCAUCCUCCAAGGCUAAAUACUCCUGACUGACCGAUAGUGAACCAGUACCGUGAGGGAAAGGCGAAAAGAACCCCGGCGAGGGGAGUGAAAAAGAACCUGAAACCGUGUACGUACAAGCAGUGGGAGCCUCUUUAUGGGGUGACUGCGUACCUUUUGUAUAAUGGGUCAGCGACUUAUAUUCUGUAGCAAGGUUAACCGAAUAGGGGAGCCGAAGGGAAACCGAGUCUUAACUGGGCGUUAAGUUGCAGGGUAUAGACCCGAAACCCGGUGAUCUAGCCAUGGGCAGGUUGAAGGUUGGGUAACACUAACUGGAGGACCGAACCGACUAAUGUUGAAAAAUUAGCGGAUGACUUGUGGCUGGGGGUGAAAGGCCAAUCAAACCGGGAGAUAGCUGGUUCUCCCCGAAAGCUAUUUAGGUAGCGCCUCGUGAAUUCAUCUCCGGGGGUAGAGCACUGUUUCGGCAAGGGGGUCAUCCCGACUUACCAACCCGAUGCAAACUGCGAAUACCGGAGAAUGUUAUCACGGGAGACACACGGCGGGUGCUAACGUCCGUCGUGAAGAGGGAAACAACCCAGACCGCCAGCUAAGGUCCCAAAGUCAUGGUUAAGUGGGAAACGAUGUGGGAAGGCCCAGACAGCCAGGAUGUUGGCUUAGAAGCAGCCAUCAUUUAAAGAAAGCGUAAUAGCUCACUGGUCGAGUCGGCCUGCGCGGAAGAUGUAACGGGGCUAAACCAUGCACCGAAGCUGCGGCAGCGACACUAUGUGUUGUUGGGUAGGGGAGCGUUCUGUAAGCCUGUGAAGGUGGCCUGUGAGGGUUGCUGGAGGUAUCAGAAGUGCGAAUGCUGACAUAAGUAACGAUAAAGCGGGUGAAAAGCCCGCUCGCCGGAAGACCAAGGGUUCCUGUCCAACGUUAAUCGGGGCAGGGUGAGUCGACCCCUAAGGCGAGGCCGAAAGGCGUAGUCGAUGGGAAACAGGUUAAUAUUCCUGUACUUGGUGUUACUGCGAAGGGGGGACGGAGAAGGCUAUGUUGGCCGGGCGACGGUUGUCCCGGUUUAAGCGUGUAGGCUGGUUUUCCAGGCAAAUCCGGAAAACCAAGGCUGAGGCGUGAUGACGAGGCACUACGGUGCUGAAGCGACAAAUGCCCUGCUUCCAGGAAAAGCCUCUAAGCAUCAGGUAACAUCAAAUCGUACCCCAAACCGACACAGGUGGUCAGGUAGAGAAUACCAAGGCGCUUGAGAGAACUCGGGUGAAGGAACUAGGCAAAAUGGUGCCGUAACUUCGGGAGAAGGCACGCUGAUAUGUAGGUGAAGCGACUUGCUCGUGGAGCUGAAAUCAGUCGAAGAUACCAGCUGGCUGCAACUGUUUAUUAAAAACACAGCACUGUGCAAACACGAAAGUGGACGUAUACGGUGUGACGCCUGCCCGGUGCCGGAAGGUUAAUUGAUGGGGUUAGCGGUAACGCGAAGCUCUUGAUCGAAGCCCCGGUAAACGGCGGCCGUAACUAUAACGGUCCUAAGGUAGCGAAAUUCCUUGUCGGGUAAGUUCCGACCUGCACGAAUGGCGUAAUGAUGGCCAGGCUGUCUCCACCCGAGACUCAGUGAAAUUGAACUCGCUGUGAAGAUGCAGUGUACCCGCGGCAAGACGGAAAGACCCCGUGAACCUUUACUAUAGCUUGACACUGAACAUUGAGCCUUGAUGUGUAGGAUAGGUGGGAGGCUUUGAAGUGUGGACGCCAGUCUGCAUGGAGCCGACCUUGAAAUACCACCCUUUAAUGUUUGAUGUUCUAACGUUGGCCCGUAAUCCGGGUUGCGGACAGUGUCUGGUGGGUAGUUUGACUGGGGCGGUCUCCUCCUAAAGAGUAACGGAGGAGCACGAAGGUUGGCUAAUCCUGGUCGGACAUCAGGAGGUUAGUGCAAUGGCAUAAGCCAGCUUGACUGCGAGCGUGACGGCGCGAGCAGGUGCGAAAGCAGGUCAUAGUGAUCCGGUGGUUCUGAAUGGAAGGGCCAUCGCUCAACGGAUAAAAGGUACUCCGGGGAUAACAGGCUGAUACCGCCCAAGAGUUCAUAUCGACGGCGGUGUUUGGCACCUCGAUGUCGGCUCAUCACAUCCUGGGGCUGAAGUAGGUCCCAAGGGUAUGGCUGUUCGCCAUUUAAAGUGGUACGCGAGCUGGGUUUAGAACGUCGUGAGACAGUUCGGUCCCUAUCUGCCGUGGGCGCUGGAGAACUGAGGGGGGCUGCUCCUAGUACGAGAGGACCGGAGUGGACGCAUCACUGGUGUUCGGGUUGUCAUGCCAAUGGCACUGCCCGGUAGCUAAAUGCGGAAGAGAUAAGUGCUGAAAGCAUCUAAGCACGAAACUUGC